rfam:Ixodes scapularis strain Wikel colony gcontig_1108379837252, whole genome shotgun sequence.
UAAACGGCCCUUUUUAGGGCCCCCAUUUUGCAAACGGAGUUGCAU